AGAAGUAGUAUUUUAAUCUAUGUUCUGUGAAUGACAAGUGUUAUCUGUCAAGUGUCAAAAAACUUGAAAAACUUUUACGAAGUUUUUGAAUUAUGUUAAAUUUGUUUAUAAACACAAUGCCAAAGGCAAGAAUAAUUGCCCACGCCAGAUGGAGACCCAGCUAAAUAAUGUAGUAACAGCGCGUGGUCGUGUGAUGAGGGUUCCUUGACUUGAGUUCUGGCGCAACACGUCCUGGGCACUAGACAAGAUUGGGGAUGGGACGUCUAAAGAGGUGCAAGCCUGGAAAACGCUCUCGUCUUGCUCUACAGCACUUGCACUUGUCCCACCAUCUACCAGUGUUGGAACUCUUCCAAUAAUUACCCACACCCAGGUGGAGAAUACUCCAGUUACUGCUACUGCUACUCUAAAAUAUCUCUCAUCUUGUUCUACAGCGCCUGCACCUGUCCUACCAUCUACCAGUGUUGGAACUCUUCGAAGUGUAUUAAUGAUUAAUAAUUAUUUUAGUAACCAUAAAAGUUUAAAACAAUACAUUUUAUUGCAUAAUUAUUUGUUAGAAAAAACGACAAGUACAAAUGAGUAGGGAGGCUGUUGAUUUUUCAUGGUUAUUUUAUAUCUUGUUGAUUGUUCCAAAAAAAAACUAAGUUUUCAAGAAUGCUGUGAUUAAAGUACCUAUAGUAUUAUAUUUAAAAUGAAAACUUAGUUUGUAAAGAGACGAAGGCUGACCACAAAAGAAGUACUUAUAGCUGUCUGUGUCUGUGUAAAGAAUUUAAAUAAAAAGAUGUGUAUAUUUAAA